GAUGAACGCUGGCGGCGUGCCUAAUAUAUGCAAGUCGAGCGAACGGACGAGAAGCUUGCUUCUCUGAUGUUAGCGGCGGACGGGUGAGUAACACGUGGAUAACCUACCUAUAAGACUGGGAUAACUUCGGGAAACCGGAGCUAAUACCGGAUAAUAUUUUGAACCGCAUGGUUCAAAAGUGAAAGACGGUCUUGCUGUCACUUAUAGAUGGAUCCGCGCUGCAUUAGCUAGUUGGUAAGGUAACGGCUUACCAAGGCAACGAUGCAUAGCCGACCUGAGAGGGUAUCAGGCCUCACUGGAGCUGAGACACGACCCAAACCCCUACGGGAGGCAGGAGGAGGAAAUUUUCCGGCAAGGGAGAAAGCCGGACGGAGAAACGCCCCGAGUGUGAUAACGGUCUCCGGUACGUAACACUUUUUUUAAAGGCAAAAACAUUGGUUGAGGAAACGGGGCACAUUUUGCCGGUCCCUAAUCAAAAAGCCUGGGUUACCUACGU
rnacentral:rRNA from 1 species